rnacentral:SRP_RNA from 1 species
ACUGGGUUGAGCGGCGUCAACUUGUAACGGGAAGCUUCUGCCCGGGUAGUAAGGUGUGAGGGUUGAGGUAUGUGGGUCCGUGUCACUAUCCCCAGGAUGUGGAUGGCGCGUCCAUCUCAAACCAGGAGUGGACAUUGGGACAUUGGCGUAAGCUAGUGUACCGAGGUCCGUAAAGAAGGGUAUACUGCCCCAGGCUGGCUAACAGAGCAGGGAAAAGCCCUCGCUCUUGGUAGUGGGAGGAUCUCGUGCUAGAAUUCUGAUGUGGCACGGUCUCGCUGUAAGCCUCGGUUCGAUCACCUUG